GGCCUCCCAAUGCUUACCACAGGCUGUGAUCUUUGUACUGACUGUAUAGAAAAAAAAAGUAUAGUAAAUGCAUCCCAUAUACACCUCAACCCAGGUCUGUCUAGGAUACAGGGUGUGGUGGGGUGGGAAGG